rnacentral:rRNA from 1 species
AUUGAACGCUGGCGGCAGGCCUAACACAUGAAAGUCGAACGAGUGGCGGACGGGUGAGUAAUGUCUGGGAACCUGCCCGAUGGAGGGGGAUAACUACUGGAAACGGUAGCUAAUACCGCAUACCAUCGGAUGUGCUCAAAUGGGAUUAGCUAGUCGGUGGGGUAACGGCUCACCAAGGCGACGAUCCUUCGCUGGUUUGAGAGGACGACAAGCCACACUGGGACUGAUACACGGCCCCGACUCCUACGGGAGGCAGCAGUGGGGAAGGUUGGAAAAUGGGCGAAAACCUAAGCAAGCCAUCCCGCGAGUGUGUUGAAGGCCUUCGUGUUGAGAAGCAUGUUUGGCAGGGAGGCGGUAGCUGCAGAAUAAGCAACGGAUAACUACGUGCCAGCAGCCGCGGUAAUAC